ACCGGCGCACGGGUGCGUAACGCGUAUGCAAUCUACCUACAGCAGAGGGAUAGCCCGUGGAAACAUGGAUUAAUACCUCAUAAUACAGGGGUCCCGCAUGGGGAUAUUGUUAAAGACCCGAUAGCUAUCGGGUUCGGCUGUAGAUGGGCAUGCGUCCCAUUAGCUAGUUGGUACGGUAACGGCGUACCAAGGCGAUGAUGGGUAGGGGUUCUGAGAGGAUGAUCCCCCACACUGGUACUGAGAUACGGACCAGACUCCUACGGGAGGCAGCAGUAGGGAAUAUUGGUCAAUGGACGGAAGUCUGAACCAGCCAUGCCGCGUGCAGGAAGACGGCCUUCUGGGUUGUAAACUGCUUUUAUCAGGGAAGAAUAAGCUACUUGCGAGUAGUGAUGCCGGUACCUGAAGAAUAAGCACCGGCUAACUCCGUGCCAGCAGCCGCGGUAAUACGGAGGGUGCGAGCGUUGUCCGGAUUUAUUGGGUUUAAAGGGUGCGUAGGCGGCCUGCUAAGUCAGUGGUGAAAGGUAUCAGCUUAACUGAUGACGUGCCAUUGAAACUGGCGGGCUUGAGUACAGACGAGGUAGGCGGAAUUUAUGGUGUAGCGGUGAAAUGCAUAGAUACCAUAAAGAACACCGAUAGCGAAGGCAGCUUACUAGGCUGAGACUGACGCUGAGGCACGAAAGCGUGGGGAGCGAACAGGAUUAGAUACCCUGGUAGUCCACGCUGUAAACGAUGAUUACUGGAUGUAUGCGAUACAUUGUAUGCGUCUGAGCGAAAGCGUUAAGUAAUCCACCUGGGGAGUACGACCGCAAGGUUGAAACUCAAAU
rnacentral:rRNA from 1 species